rnacentral:rRNA from 1 species
GAUGAACGCUGGCGGCGUGCUUAACACAUGCAAGUCGAACGAGAAGUGAAGACGGAAACCUUCGGGCGGAAGGCUUUAUUUCGAGUGGCGGCCGGGUGAGUAACGCGUGGGUAACCUGCCUCAUACAGGGGGAUAACAGUUGGAAACGACUGGUAAUACCGCAUAAGACCACAGCACCGCAUGGUGCGGGGGUAAAAACUCCGGUGGUAUGAGAUGGACCCGCGUUCGAUUAGCCAGUUGGCGGGGUAACGGCCCACCAAAGCGACGAUCGAUAGCCGAUCUGAGAGGAUGACCGGCCACACUGGGACUGAGACACGGCCCAAACUCCUACGGGAGGCAGCAGUGGGGAAUAUUGCACAAUGGGGGAAACCCUGAUGCAGCGACGCCGCGUGAGUGAAGAAGUCUUUAGGUAUGUAAAGCUCUAUCAGCAGGGAAGAAAAUGACGGUACCUGAGUAAGAAGCCCCGGCUAACUACGUG